GAUGAACGCUGGCGGCGUGCCUAAUACAUGCAAGUCGAGCGAACAGACGAGGAGCUUGCUCCUCUGAGGUUAGCGGCGGACGGGUGAGUAACACGUGGAUAACCUACCUAUAAGACUGGGAUAACUUCGGGAAACCGGAGCUAAUACCGGAUAAUAUAUUGAACCGCAUGGUUCAAUAGUGAAAGACGGUUUUGCUGUCACUUAUAGAUGGAUCCGCGCCGCAUUAGCUAGUUGGUAAGGUAACGGCUUACCAAGGCGACGAUGCGUAGCUGACCUGAGAGGGUGAUCGGCCACACUGGAACUGAGACACGGUCCAGACUCCUACGGGAGGCAGCAGUAGGGAAUCUUCCGCAAUGGGCGAAAGCCUGACGGAGCAACGCCGCGUGAGUGAUGAAGGUCUUCGGAUCGUAAAACUCUGUUAUUAGGGAAGAACAAAUGUGUAAGUAACUAUGCACGUCUUGACGGUACCUAAUCAGAAAGCCACGGCUAACUACGUG
rnacentral:rRNA from 1 species